UUCAUGUUGUUUUUGCACCUGAAAAAGAGUAUGCCAGAAAUUAUUAAGAUGAUAUCAUGUAACUUCUUAUUGGUGAAGGCGGAAGGUGGAAAUCAUUUCCCUAACAUCUCCCUCACCCAAAAAGGCACUGAUUUAUAUUUAAAGCCAUUUAUACCCAAAUUAUUUUAAAAAAUUAAGAAAAAAGGAUUAACUAACAAAAUAAGGCCUCUACAUAAGUUUUUUUCCACUUUUUUUCCCCAGUUCAAGGGCGAUAGAAGCAAUUAUUUGAUCCUCUCACUGACAUCACCACAGGCAGGUAUUCAGCCACUGCACCACUGCCCCAGAAGAAAACCCAAUUAUGACUAAAGAAACAUGAUUAAUUCCAACGAACAAACUAGAUUUCAAAAAGCCUCAACAUUAUAUUUCAGAAAUACGUUAAGAAUUCGUGAAAACAUCUCUAAUGUCUUGAAAGAGCUCACCUUCAUCUUUUGAAGGAGUUAUAAGGAAAUUCAAGAAAAUCUAUAACUGCCUACUUGUUUCUACAGACUAUUUUUGCAAACGAAACAGGUGUGCACAUCUUCUGUUACCAUUUGCAAUCAAUUUCCCUAUGUUUUAAUUUCGGAUUCAAGUAGUAAUUGGCAUUGGUCAUAAAAACUUCAAAGGAAUAACAGUAUAACACAAAUCACAAAGAAUGACUGAAGCAAUCGCAACAAAAUGAGAUGAUUAGCCUGAUCUAUUGCGCUUGAAAGCACUUUCACAUAACUGUAUAUGCUGUCUCUUACUAUGGGGUGCAUAUUACUUCCUAACACCAUAAAACCAUAAAAUCUUUAUAAUAGGACACCAAAAGAAAAUAGAACUACUCUUGCUAUCGUGUUUAAAGGAGUGUCAAGGCUGUCAUUAUGGAUAUGGGAACAAAAGGGAUGAAUGAAUUAUAAUAUGG
rnacentral:misc_RNA from 1 species